CACGUAGUUAGCCGGGGCUUCUUAAUCAGGUACCGUCUGGCGACCCAAAGGUCGCUAUUUCUUCCCUGCUGAUAGAGCUUUACAUGCCGAAAUACUUCUUCACUCACGCGGCGUCGCUGCAUCAGGGUUUCCCCCAUUGUGCAAUAUUCCCCACUGCCUGCCUCCCGUAGGAGUUUGGGCCGUGUCUCAGUCCCAAUGUGGCCGUUCACCCUCUCAGGCCGGCUACUGAUCGUCGCCUUGGUGAGCCAUUACCCCACCAACAAGCUAAUCAGACGCGGAACCAUCGUAUACCACCGGAGUUUUUCACACCACUUCAUGCGAAGCUGUGCGCUUAUGCGGUAUUAGCACCUAUUUCUAAGUUGUUAUCCCCCAGUAUACGGCUACGGUUUCCACGUACGUUACUCCUACCCGUCCGACCACUAACUCAAUAAUCACUAGGUUACAAUAUGACGUCCCGUUACGUACUUGACAUCGUAGUUAACGCACGCCGCACGUCGUUACACUCCGUGACGCCAGGACUACUAAA
rnacentral:rRNA from 1 species